UGUCCCGUGGUGUAAUGGUAACACAACUGAUUUUGGUUCAGUCAUUUCAAGUUCGAGUCUUGACGGGAUAA
rnacentral:tRNA from 1 species